rnacentral:rRNA from 1 species
AACGAACGCUGGCGGCAGGCCUAACACAUGCAAGUCGAGCGAAGCCUUCGGGCUUAGCGGCGGACGGGUGAGUAACGCGUGGGAACGUGCCCUUUGGUACGGAAUAGCCCCGGGAAACUGGGAGUAAUACCGUAUGUGGUCGAGAGACGAAAGAUUUAUCGCCAAAGGAUCGGCCCGCGUUGGAUUAGGUAGUUGGUGGGGUAAUGGCCUACCAAGCCGACGAUCCAUAGCUGGUUUGAGAGGAUGAUCAGCCACACUGGGACUGAGACACGGCCCAGACUCCUACGGGAGGCAGCAGUGGUGAAUCUUAGACAAUGGGGGAAACCCUGAUCUAGCCAUGCCGCGUGAUCGAUGAAGGCCUUAGGGUUGUAAAGAUCUUUCAGUGGGGAAGAUAAUGACUGUACCCACAGAAGAAGCCCCGGCUAACUCCGUGCCAGCAGCCGCCGUAA